CCGGCACGGUGAGUAACACGUAUGCAAUCCACCUGUAACAGGGGGAGUAACCCGGAGAAAUCCGGACUAAUACCCCAUAAUAUGGGCGCUCCGCAUGGAGAGCCCAUUAAAGAGAGCAAUUUUGGUUACAGACGAGCAUGCGCUCCAUUAGCCAGUUGGCGGGGUAACGGCCCACCAAAGCGACGAUGGAUAGGGGUUCUGAGAGGAAGGUCCCCCACAUUGGAACUGAGACACGGUCCAA
rnacentral:rRNA from 1 species